rnacentral:rRNA from 1 species
UACAGAGGUCUCAAGCGUUGUUCGGAUUCAUUGGGCGUAAAGGGUGCGUAGGCGGCCCGGUAAGUCCGCUGUGAAAGUCAAAGGCUCAACCUUUGAAUGCCGGUGGAUACUGUCGGGCUAGAGUCCGGAAGAGGCGAGUGGAAUUCCUGGUGUAGCGGUGGAAUGCGCAGAUAUCAGGAGGAACACCAAUAGCGAAGGCAGCUCGCUGGGACGGUACUGACGCUAAGGCGCGAAAGCGUGGGGAGCGAACAGG